UGCAAGUCUACUUGAACUUCGGUUUGGGUGGCGGACGGGUGAGUAACGCGUAAAGAACUUGCCUCACAGACUGGGACAACAUCUGGAAACGGAUGCUAAUACCGGAUAUUAUGAUUUUAGUGCAUGCUAGAAUUAUGAAAGCUAUAUGCGCUGUGAGAGAGCUUUGCGUCCCAUUAGCUAGUUGGAGAGGUAACGGCUCACCAAGGCGAUGAUGGGUAGCCGGCCUGAGAGGGUGAACGGCCACAAGGGGACUGAGACACGGCCCUUACUCCUACGGGAGGCAGCAGUGGGGAAUAUUGGACAAUGGACCGAGAGUCUGAUCCAGCAAUUCUGUGUGCACGAUGAAGUUUUUCGGAAUGUAAAGUGCUUUCAGUUGGGAAGAAAAAAAUGACGGUACCAACAGAAGGAGUGACGGCUAAAUACGUGCCAGCAGCCGCGGUAAUACGUAUGUCACAAGCGUUAUCCGGAUUUAUUGGGCGUAAAGCGCGUCUAGGCGGCUAUGUAAGUCUGAUGUGAAAAUGCGGGGCUCAACUCCGUAUUGCGUUGGAAACUGUGUAGCUAGAGUAUCGGAGAGGUAAGCGGAACUACAAGUGUAGAGGUGAAAUUCGUAGAUAUUUGUAGGAAUGCCGAUGGGGAAGCCAGCUUACUGGACGAAUACUGACGCUAAAGCGCGAAAGCGUGGGUAGCAAACAGGAUUAGAUACCCUGGUAGUCCACGCCGUAAACGAUGAUUACUAGGUGUUGGGGGUCGAACCUCAGCGCCCA
rnacentral:rRNA from 1 species